rnacentral:rRNA from 1 species
UAGGGAAUCUUCCGCAAUGGGCGAAAGCCUGACGGAGCAACGCCGCGUGAGUGAUGAAGGUCUUCGGAUCGUAAAACUCUGUUAUUAGGGAAGAACAAAUGUGUAAGUAACUAUGCACGUCUUGACGGUACCUAAUCAGAAAGCCACGGCUAACUACGUGCCAGCAGCCGCGGUAAUACGUAGGUGGCAAGCGUUAUCCGGACUUAUUGGGCGUAAAGCGCGCGUAGGCGGUUUUUUAAGUCUGAUGUGAAAGCCCACGGCUCAACCGUGGAGGGUCAUUGGAAACUGGAAAACUUGAGUGCAGAAGAGGAAAGUGGAAUUCCAUGUGUAGCGGUGAAAUGCGCAGAGAUAUGGAGGAACACCAGUGGCGAAGGCGACUUUCUGGUCUGUAACUGACGCUGAUGUGCGAAAGCGUGGGGAUCAAACAGG